AAGACAACAGUUAAGCAUACAGGGCAUUUUGUUAAACAAUAUCUACAAGCCUGCCAUCUACCUGGCUAUAAAACUCUGCUCCCUUCUUGAAGCACACGCCUCCCUCUCUCCCUCAAUAAAACCAGGAGCAACCACACCGCACAGGGGGCGGUGCUCAUCUCCGUUUCAAAGCCGAAGAGCCAGUGCUGUCCAAAGAAGUCUCCGUGGUGAUGUGGCCGGCAUGAUUAAACACCAAAGGCACAUGGAAUGCUGUUCCCACCAAAGAUUUUUUAAAAAAACCCACUUCAUCUGCUGUCUUCUUACGGAAACUCUGCUAAAGAAAUCUGGAUACUAGAUAUAGUACUUAAAAAUAUAAGCCUGCCUUAGUAGAACUGCAACAGGAUUUGUCAUGAGAAUAGGAAACAAGGAAGCUGCAAAUUCAAUAGUAUCUUUGGGAAAAUCCCUUCAAACAUAUGGAAAUAUAUUUUCAUUGCAAAGGCCAGGGUAAUAUAUUACAAAUAUAAUUGUUUUGACAAUGUACCAAAAUUUCAUUUGGAUUGAUAAAGCCAAUUAAAAACGUUCCAAUU